rnacentral:rRNA from 1 species
UACGUAGGUGGCAAGCGUUGUCCGGAUUUAUUGGGUUUAAAGGGUGCGUAGGCGGCAUUUUAAGUCAGUGGUGAAAUACUUCAGCUUAACUGGAGAGGUGCCAUUGAUACUGGGAUGCUUGAGUACUGAUGAGGUAGGCGGAAUGGACGGUGUAGCGGUGAAAUGCUUAGAUAUCGUCCAGAACACCGAUAGCGAAGGCAGCUUACUAAGGAGUAACUGACGCUGAGGCACGAAGGUCAGGGGAGCAAACGGG